CCAGAGUUUAUUUGCAUGCACACAGCUGAUGAGUGAUGAUGCCUGUUAUUACCAAAUUAAGCAUCAGCAGUCUCAGCAGAAUCAGCUGCAGCUAAGAUCAGCUCAGGGUGAACGCCUCCCACAUAUGUACCGUCUAAUGCAUUCGGCUGGCCCAGUGACUUCAACGCCAAAUGCGCAGCCUUCUGCCCCGAUAUCAUCAUUGCUCCAAAUGUUGGCCCCUGCAUUCAGAUUCUUACGUUUGUUACUUAUUUGUACACAUUAUCAAACAUUAUAUCAAGAAACCGUUUUAAGAUUGAAGAGCAGCAACUUUCUUAAUCUAAGGCUGCUAAGAAACAGAGUCGUAAGCAUAUGUACCAUUCGAGGAGCACCAUCAAUCUCGGCAACUUCCAUGCCGGUAACUAUCAUACCAGGCACAACCUCCCUGGUCAGCCUCACAAUAGCAUCUUCUGCAGAGUUCAUGUCCAGUGCCUUCAUUCCAGGCACUUCCUCAAUCAUUCCGAUACUCUUCAACCUCUUUACUCCAGUGGCCCCAAAAGGCCCAUCAUGGCCACAAGAGCUCACAACCACCUUCGCUUCCAUUACAUUGGGAUCCAUGCAAGACUGUGUAUCGUGAUUCAUUGACACCAACGCCCAGUUGGUCACCACACCACCAACUCUGCCGCCUUUGACUAUCAAGUCCUCGGCUGCCACUGCAUUAAAGAGCUUGACGUUGGGGCGGGCCAGGAGCUUGCUCAUUAUAGUGGAGGUGAACAGCGCUGCAUGCUUGAUCACAACAUAGUUGUCUUGCUCAUCGUAGUCGAUGCCAAGCUCGUCAAGGAAGAUGUGGGCUGGUUUGCGCACAACCUGUUCAAAUUACAGGCAAUUCAAUUAACUCCAAUUUAGACCUAGAUUGUUUUGUACGAAAUCUCGGAUACUCUGUUGUGUGGCAGCAAUUCUAAUGAAGUGAUAAAAUCAAAUCAUAAAGGUUUGAUUUGUAUGAGACAUAAAUAGAAUAUUAAGAGUCCAAAUAUGAUACUAAUGCGUUACAGGUGACCCAAAUUACAAAACUCCUCAUUUAACCAAGAUAUUGUCCCAUUUCACUCAUCUCAAUAUUAAAGUGAAGAAAUAACUCGAUUCCAAAUCGGAAUUUCCAAUAAUUAGAUAAAUAAAAAUAAACUUAAUUAUUUCCUUAAUAAUGACAAGAGGGACCAUCAGACCCACCACCCUCCAGCAAGUCUCUUUUUGACACGAACUGAUGUCCUUAACAGAGCUUUUUGGAGAUAUCUUUAACAGAGCUUUUAGCAUAUAAUUAAUUAUUAUCAUAAGCCAUAUACAGAACUAUAAAGCUUACUUAAAUAAAAUUUUUGGUAGUAGAAUUUUUCUAAGUUUUUAUUAAAAAAAUUUA
rnacentral:lncRNA from 1 species